CCUACGGGGGGCAGCAGUAGGGAAUCUUUCACAAUGGGCGAAAGCCUGAUGGAGCAACGCCGCGUGCAGGAUGAAGGCCUUCGGGUUGUAAACUGCUUUUAUAAGCGAGAAAUAUGAUGGUAACUUAUGAAUAAGGAUCGGCUAACUACGUGCCAGCAGCCGCGGUCAUACGUAGGAUCCGAGCAUUAUCCGGAGUGACUUGGUGUAAAGAGUUGCGUAGGUGGCAUAAUAAGUAGCUAGUGAAAUCUGGUGGCUCAACCAUUCAGACUAUUAGCUAAACUGUUAAGCUCGAGACCGUGAGGGGUAACUGGAAUUUCUAGUGUAGGAGUGAAAUCCGUAGAUAUUAGAAGGAACACCAAUAGCGUAGGCAGGUUGCUGGGACGGUUCUGACACUAAGGCACGAAAGCGUAGGGAGCAAACGGGAUUAGAUACCCGUGUAGUC
rnacentral:rRNA from 1 species